rnacentral:misc_RNA from 1 species
UAGGUGAACCUGCGGAAGGAUCAUUAUUGAAAUUAACUGAGGGUUUGAUGCUGGCAGUCUAUGAUUGCAUGUGCUCGCUCUCUUUAAUCCACUUACACAUGUGCACUCAAUUUCGAAGACGGGGCAAAGCCUGUCUUUGAGAUCUUAUAAACUCUUACUUGAUGUAAUGCAUGUUUUUAUCUGCCGAAAGGCAAAAUCUAAUACAACUUUUAACAACGGAUCUCUUGGCUCUCGCAUCGAUGAAGAACGCAGCGAAAUGCGAUAAGUAAUGUGAAUUGCAGAAUUCAGUGAAUCAUCGAAUCUUUGAACGCACCUUGCACUCUCUGGUAUUCCGGAGAGUACGCCUGUUCGAGUGUCAUGAAACUCUCAAGCAGAGAUGGCUUUGUUGCUUGUCUUUGUUUGGAUUUGGACUUUGCUGUGUCAAUGCGGCUGGUCUUAAAUGUAUUAGCUGGUCCUUAUGAAUGAUUUGGUUCUACUCGGCGUGAUAAUUAUCUAACGUUGAGGACAGUCUUAGGACUGGCCAGAGCUAUCUUUGGAUUGCUUCUAAUUGUCCUUGGACAU